rnacentral:lncRNA from 1 species
GUAAAUACUAGUGAUCAUGAAACACUAAUACUAGUGAUCAUGAAAACAGAGGAGCUGAAACUUCUAGGCACAUUCAGGCUAGGUCACAUCCUAUUUCAGGUGGUAGCUCCACCUUGAAAAGCAGGGGGCUGGAGAUUUUCUUGGUUAAAUUAGAGGCUGCAGACACCCGCAGCUGCUAGAGGCAGAGCUGGGAUUCAGGAAUGGGCUUGCUGACUCCAACAGUGAAGGUCUUCCCCUCCAAGAGACCCCACCCGUGGGGAAGGGUGACCCUCAAAUCUUGGACAUCAGGUCCAACUUUCGGCCCAGUUGACUUUUCCACAAAGGAAGGAUUUCAGGGCUCUGAGAAGUCCCAGAAUAUCUGCCCACAGCAAUCUAGCAUCAUCAGAACCCACCUUCACGUGUAGCCACCGUGUCUCCAUGUUCCUGGUAAUGCACGCUCCCAGGCUCAGAGUCUGGAACUGCUGAUGGAGGGGCGGGUUCUGGGCCCUGCAAAGAACCGAGGCUCCGCAGUCACAGUCUUCGAUUAGACAGAGCCCCUCCAGUUCUCAGACGAUUUCUUAGGCUACCCCGAAAAUAGAGAGAGGAAGGGACCUGCCCUUGAUCACACUGUCAGUAACACAAUCAGAACAGAAAUCUAGGGCUCUUGGCCUUCAAGCCUCUGUUCUUCGCUUAACACACGGCUGGCAGAGAUGGGGAGACCUGAGAGGGCCCUGAGGGUGAGGGCAUUUGCACUGGGUGCAGAGCGCCUUUGGAAGGCAGGGAAGUCCAGGAAGGUAAACACACACACACGUUGUAAAUAUGGCGAAAAUCAGAGAGGAGGAAAUGUCAGGGACUCCUCCAGCACGGAAAACAUCCUGAUAGUUUGGAGCGCCGGGAAGAGUGGGCACCUUGGAAUCUGCAAGGCAUUCUUUUGCGUUUCACCUGCAGUGGGGUGGGGUCUCUGGGGUCUGCCCUCCCUCCUACUCUACAUGCAUUACCCAUCUUAUAGCCGGGCCGUCCCUGCAAAAUUCCAGCUGCAUGGGGGAACCACACUUCUGACUUCAGAAUGAAACCAGUGUUUUGCACACAUUCAUUCCUCAGUCCCCUUGCUGGGACCCUUCUCUGUUAUGAAAGCAGAGAUCCCACCCGAAUAGGGUGACUUUGGGGCGAUGGAUUACCUUUGGCAGGUCCUGUGGGUCAGGAAUUUAGGGGUGCAGCGUGGGCCCACAGCAUACCCAGUAGCCAAGGAAGACCCUCCCCUACCCGAGGCUCAAGCAGGCGCCAGGCCCCAAACCCUCACUCCUCUCUGGUCUAAAUCCCCGCCGUAGGAUUUUAUUUUUCGGUGCUGAGGUGCUUUGCUGGAGGAGCUGCCAGGGGGAGCUGCGCGGGGCAGGCCCGGGGUACCAGAGGCCCUUGCUUUAGCGGCGGCCCUGCGUGUGCCAGAGGCUUGCAGAGUGAUCUGAGCACGCCAAGAGAUUGCUGUCAAGUAAGCUCCUCCACAAAUCUGCAGAAACCUCAAAGAUUACAGCGCUCGCACGGCAGGAGCGCAGCGGCUUCCCAUACGCCGGCAGACAAUGGGGCGGAGGAAGGAAGGGGACGGUGGCCUGGGGACCCCCGCGCCCGCAGCACGUGCACCGAGCCUGGAGCGCCCGCUUUACAGAUCUUGUCGCUCCACCCCUAAAACAAAGGCCCCGGGGCCCCAUCUGUGCCGGGCGCGGGGGAGGGCGCCGCACUUGCUGCCCGCCGCGUGCAAAGCGAGCCAGACAAAGGGCUCAGCCCUGCAGACGCGAGCAGUGGGGAAAUAAUUAAGCACUAAGGAAAUAUUGUAUGUGGAUUUGAGACCAACGGGAAACGCGCUCCCAAACAAUGCUCGUUGUUUGCACCGAGCCGCUUUUCUGCUAAGUUUCAUCAAUGAAAGCACCAGAUUUCCGCGUAGGAGGGACUCGGGGGCAACGAUGCAAUUGGAAGUUCCAGGAACAAAGUCACUCACUGUCCUGUGGGUAGUCUCCGAGUCUCUGCGAGGACCCACUGCACGGCAGGAGCUAGUCUCAGACUGAGGAGGUGAGCUCCUCACGUACAGGGGUCGCGCUGCCUCCUCCUCUGACUCCCUGGCUCUGAGCGAAGGCUCUGGCAUCUGUAGCCAUGAGAGGAAUGUUUGCCGAGUGACCCCAUGAGCGAGUGAUGCCAGCAUAAAGGCCAGUGCACCCAAGGCUGGCCCAAAAUAUCCUCUGGCAACCAGAGCCGCCCCGCCGGGGGAUGCAUUCUGCCUUUGAAAGUAGUGAGUAGCACAUCCUUACAGGUACCCAAGAGGAGAAGGAUUGGACACUAUUCAGGGUGGAAAUGGAUGAGGGGAUCCCUGCGAUGGGGGAGAGGGUCUGACUACCCAUCCCCUAAGGACAGUCCCUGGUCUGGGGCCUCCCAGCCUGAGAACGAGGCAGGAGCCACCACCAUCGGAAGCUGUCAGAUUCACAGUCAUAAUUCCAGAGUGUGACACUUAGUUAAUCUGAAAAUAUUUGCUAACCUAUUAUGAAUAACAAUAUUUGCAGCUUAAAAUGCUUACCCUCCAUAGCUCCAGAGUGUGAAGAUGUGCUUCUACCCAGACAAAGAUGUACUCACUACUAUCCGAGCAAAUUGACACAGGGAGCUUAUGAGCCUAAUUGUUGGCAUCUCAGGCUGAUUUGCGUCCCCUGGGGCCACUCUGAUAACUUGGCUAAACAAAUACAGGAGGUGCUGUAGGGACAGGCUCACAGGGCCAGAGGGCUCCAUGGAGCCGGAUGACGGGGAAGUAUUUCAGGCCUCUCACCAGAACCUCCUGCUAUGCUCUGAAUGUCUGUGUCCUCCCAAAAUUCAUAUGUUGAAAUCCUAAUUCCCUACGUGAGGGUAUUAGGAGGUGGGGCCUUUGAAGGUGAUUAGGUCAUGAGAGCAGAGCCCACAGUAAUGGGGUGAGUGCCCUUAUAUAAA